UACGACUACAUAUCAGGCAUAUCCAAUAAGCGGAGGAAAAGAAACUAACAAGGAUUCCCUUAGUAACGGCGAGUGAAGCGGGAAGAGCUCAAAUUUGAAAUCUUCAAGGUUUUACCUUGACGAAUUGUAGUUUAAAGAAGUGUUUUCUGUUGAAGUUUUGGUAAAAGUUCUUUGGAAUAGGACAUCAUAGAGGGUGAGAAUCCCGUAUUUGACCAUUAUUUUCAGCUGUGUGAUACACCUUCAAAGAGUCGGAUUGUUUGGGAAUGCAGUCCAAAAUGGGUGGUAAAUUUCAUCUAAAGCUAAAUAUUGGCGAGAGACCGAUAGCGAACAAGUACCGUGAGGGAAAGAUGAAAAGAACUUUGAAAAGAGAGUUAAACAGUACGUGAAAUUGUCAAAAGGGAAGCGUUUGACACCAGUGUUGUUUUCUCGAAAAUCAAUUAAAAAGAGUUGGAUUUUGUGUUGUAUUGACCUUUAAUCAGCUUGCUUCACUCUUUUCAUUGUCUUUUUUAAUGCACCUUUUCGUUUAACAAGUCAACAUCAGUUUCUUUUGUUGUAAAAGGGUCAUUGGAAGGUGGCUUUCUUUUCGGAGAAAGUGUUUAUAGCCUUUGGCCUCUGCAAUCGGAGAGAUUGAGGUCUGCAGCGUAGAUCCUUCGGGGUUAGAUACAUUUGUGCUAAGCUACAGCUUUUCAUAGACAACUUGUUGACUAUGAUUUAGUCAUUGUAGCUUACUCCGCUUAUGCUAUUUUACCUACGCUUAGGAUGUUGAGCGCAUGUCUCUCUCU
rnacentral:rRNA from 1 species